GAUGAACGCUGGCGGCGUGCCUAAUACAUGCAAGUCGAGCGAAUGGAUUAAGAGCUUGCUCUUAUGAAGUUAGCGGCGGACGGGUGAGUAACACGUGGGUAACCUGCCCAUAAGACUGGGAUAACUCCGGGAAACUGUAGCUAAUACCGGAUACGACACCUUGGGGCAUCCCUGGGUGUGGACAGAAUUUCGGUCAAGGAUGUGCUCGCGGCCUAUCAGCUAGUUGGUGAGGUAAUGGCUCACCAAGGCGACGACGGGUAGCCGGCCUGAGAGGGUGAUGAGCCACACUGGGACUGGGACACUGCCCAGAGUCCUACGGGAGGCAGCAGUGGGGAAUAGUGCACAAUGGGCGCAAGCCUGAUGCAGCGACGCCGCGUGAGGGAUGACGGCCUUCGGGUUGUAAACCUCUUUCAGCGCCGACGAAGCGCAAGUGACGGUAGGUGCAGAAGAAGGACCGGACAACUACGUGCCAGCCGCCGCUGUAA
rnacentral:rRNA from 1 species